rnacentral:pre_miRNA from 1 species
AGUGAGAUAGCUGGUUCAAAUGGUGGUUCCAUUCCAAGUUUUCUGAGGAAUCUCCAUACUGCUUUCCAGAAUGGUUGCACCAAUUUGCAUUCCCACCAGCAAA